rnacentral:rRNA from 1 species
CGGGGUGAGUAAUGUCUGGGAAACUGCCUGAUGGAGGGGGGUAACUACUGGAAACGGUAGCUAAUACCGCAUAACGUCGCAAGACCAAAGAGGGGGACCUUCGAGCCUCUUGCCAUCGGAUGUGCCCAGAUGGGAUUAGCUAGUAGGUGGGGUAACGGCUCACCUAGGCGACGAUCCCUAGCUGGUCUGAGAGGAUGACCAGCCACACUGGAACUGAGACACGGUCCAG